rnacentral:lncRNA from 1 species
UUCAAAUUAGGUUCGUGAAUUGAAAAAAAAUUCGUGCAAAAAAAAAUUCGUGCAUAAAAAAAAGAGGUUGUAUUUGUUUACAUUUGUAUUCAACUUAUUGUAAUUGAGAGUUCGAGUUAAAAAAAAAGAAGGUAUCGAAAUUUUAUGCUUGCAAGUACCGAUCUCAAGAAAUUUUCUAUCUUUCUUGUCCUACCCUCCCAACGCCACACUUAGCCUUGAUUUUAUUUUGUUUAGCCUACCCUAC